UGGGGAAUAUUGGACAAUGGGCGAAAGCCUGAUCCAGCCAUGCCGCGUGUGUGAAGAAGGCCUUUUGGUUGUAAAGCACUUUAAGCGAGGAGGAGGCUACUUAGAUUAAUACUCUAGGAUAGUGGACGUUACUCGCAGAAUAAGCACCGGCUAACUCUGUGCCAGCAGCCGCGGUAAUACAGAGGGUGCGAGCGUUAAUCGGAUUUACUGGGCGUAAAGCGUGCGUAGGCGGCUUUUUAAGUCGGAUGUGAAAUCCCUGAGCUUAACUUAGGAAUUGCAUUCGAUACUGGGAAGCUAGAGUAUGGGAGAGGAUGGUAGAAUUCCAGGUGUAGCGGUGAACUGCGUAGAGAUCUGGAGGAAUACCGAUGGCGAAGGCAGCCAUCUGGCCUAAUACUGACGCUGGGGUACGAAAGCAUGGGGAGCAAACAGG
rnacentral:rRNA from 1 species